GUAGGGAAUAUUGCACAAUGGGGGAAACCCUGAUGCAGCGACGCCGCGUGAGUGAUGAAGGCCUUCGGGUCGUAAAGCUCUGUCGUAUGGGACUAACACAAUGAAGGUACCAUGCAAGAAAGGAUCGGCUAACUUCGUGCCAGCAGCCGCGGUAAGACGAGGGAUCCUAGCGUUGUUCGGAAUCAUUGGGCGUAAAGCGGGUGUAGGCGGAUUUAUAAGUCAGGUGUGAAAUCCCAGGGUGCAACCCUGUAAGUGCACUUGAUACUGUAAAUCUUGAGUGUGGUAGAGGUUACUGGAAUUGUUGGUGUAGUGGUGAAAUACGUAGAUAUCAACAGGAAUACCGGAGGCGAAGGCGAGUAACUGGGCCAACACUGACGCUGAGACCCGAAAGCGUGGGGAUCAAACAGGAUUAGAAACCCUUGUAGUCC
rnacentral:rRNA from 1 species